rnacentral:rRNA from 1 species
UUCGCAAUGCCCGAAAGGGUGACGGAGCGACGCCGCGUGUGGGACGAAGCCCUUCGGGGUGUAAACCACUGUCAGGGGACAGAAAGUUCUGAUCGUCCCCAGAGGAAGGCACGGCUAACUCUGUGCCAGCAGCCGCGGUAAGACAGAGGUGCCAAGCGUUAGGCGGAAUCACUGGGCUUAAAGCGUGUGUAGGCGGGUGCCUAAGUACCUUGUGAAAUCCCACGGCUCAACCGUGGAACUGCUGGGUAUACUGGGUGCCUUGGGUCAUCUAGGGGCUGCCGGAACAAAUGGUGGAGCGGUGAAAUGCGUUGAGAUCGGAAGGAACGCCCGUGGCGAAAGCGAGGUCCUGGACGCCUACUGACGCUGAGACGCGAAAGCCAGGGGAGCGAACGGGAUUAGAUACCCCGGUAGUCCUGGCCGUAAACGAUGGGCACUAAGUAGAGGGGUUUU